rnacentral:rRNA from 1 species
GCUUACGGCCAUACCACCCUGAACACGCCGAUCUGUCCGAUCUCGGAAGCUAAGCAGGGUCGGGCCUGGUUAGUACUUGGAUGGGAGACCGCCUGGGAAUACCAGGUGCUGUAAGCU